rnacentral:rRNA from 1 species
AGAGUUUGAUCAUGGCUCAGAUUGAACGCUGGCGGCAUGCCUUACACAUGCAAGUCGAACGGCAGCAUGAUCUAGCUUGCUAGAUUGAUGGCGAGUGGCGAACGGGUGAGUAAUACAUCGGAACGUGCCCUGUAGUGGGGGAUAACUAGUCGAAAGAUUAGCUAAUACCGCAUACGACCUGAGGGUGAAAGUGGGGGACCGCAAGGCCUCAUGCUAUAGGAGCGGCCGAUGUCUGAUUAGCUAGUUGGUGAGGUAAAGGCUCACCAAGGCGACGAUCAGUAGCUGGUCUGAGAGGACGAUCAGCCACACUGGGACUGAGACACGGCCCAGACUCCUAUGGGAGGCAGCAGUGGGGAAUUUUGGACAAUGGGGGCAAUCCUGAUCCAGCAAUGCCGCGUGUGUGAAGAAGGCCUUCGGGUUGUAAAGCACUUUUGUCCGGAAAGAAAUCGCACUUACUAAUAUUAGGUGUGGAUGACGGUACCGGAAGAAUAAGGACCGGCUAACUACGUGCCAGCAGCCGCGGUAAUACGUAGGGUCCAAGCGUUAAUCGGAAUUACUGGGCGUAAAGCGUGCGCAGGCGGUUGUGCAAGACCGAUGUGAAAUCCCCGGGCUUAACCUGGGAAUUGCAUUGGUGACUGCACGGCUAGAGUGUGUCAGAGGGGGGUAGAAUUCCACGUGUAGCAGUGAAAUGCGUAGAGAUGUGGAGGAAUACCGAUGGCGAAGGCAGCCCCCUGGGAUAACACUGACGCUCAUGCACGAAAGCGUGGGGAGCAAACAGGAUUAGAUACCCUGGUAGUCCACGCCCUAAACGAUGUCAACUAGUUGUUGGGGAUUCAUUUCCUUAGUAACGUAGCUAACGCGUGAAGUUGACCGCCUGGGGAGUACGGUCGCAAGAUUAAAACUCAAAGGAAUUGACGGGGACCCGCACAAGCGGUGGAUGAUGUGGAUUAAUUCGAUGCAACGCGAAAAACCUUACCUACCCUUGACAUGCCACUAACGAAGCAGAGAUGCAUUAGGUGCUCGAAAGAGAAAGUGGACACAGGUGCUGCAUGGCUGUCGUCAGCUCGUGUCGUGAGAUGUUGGGUUAAGUCCCGCAACGAGCGCAACCCUUGUCUCUAGUUGCUACGAAAGGGCACUCUAGAGAGACUGCCGGUGACAAACCGGAGGAAGGUGGGGAUGACGUCAAGUCCUCAUGGCCCUUAUGGGUAGGGCUUCACACGUCAUACAAUGGUGCAUACAGAGGGUUGCCAAGCCGCGAGGUGGAGCUAAUCCCAGAAAAUGCAUCGUAGUCCGGAUCGUAGUCUGCAACUCGACUACGUGAAGCUGGAAUCGCUAGUAAUCGCGGAUCAGCAUGCCGCGGUGAAUACGUUCCCGGGUCUUGUAGA